rnacentral:lncRNA from 1 species
UUCCUUUAAUAGCUAUAAGUUUUACAUCACCGAGAAACAAAUUCUACAAUAAUGUUGGUAAGCAUCAUAUUCACAUGCCACAGCCAAAAAGAGCAAGCACAUAGUAUUCUAAGAAUGGCCCAUAAAACUAAGCGAUGUAGCAGAGGAAGGUGGCAAACCUUAAUCACAGCACGACAUCCGCUGGCUACUGAUGGAUUGAACAAUACCUGGAAGAAGAACAUAGCAAUACACACAUCAAAAAGAGGCCAAGACAUGGACUGGAUCAAAUGCAUAUCCUACCGGAAAAGAAACAAUAGUUGGAGGUUCGCCAUCAUGGAAGGAGGUGGAUAACAACUUCUUGUUAGAUUUUAUUGGCCACCGCAGAAAUAAAUAGAAAUCGUAACAUCCCCAUGAUUGAUAACAGGAAAUAAUAACUUACCUUCAAAUCUCAGAGAGAGUGGCACACAUAGAGAGUGAGAGAGAGAGGGAGACUUAGACACCAUUCAUCGCAGUAAAAAUGAGUGCACGCCGCAGAACUGAUCAUAUGGGAAGAAUACCCUUCGAAAUUAUAUCCCAAAAGCUAGGCGCAGCCAAUAUAAAUAUACAAUUGUCAGAUAUUAUAAAAUGGUAUUAUAGGUGUGCUAAUGCCUAAAGUGCCAGAACAAAUCAUGCUCAUAUGCACAUGAGCACAUCACAACACAGACAUGCAUAAACACAUCGCAAAUUUCUGAAGAAAAGGGUUGGGG